GGGCCCGCACAAGCAGUGGAGCAUGUGGUUUAAUUCGAUGCAACGCGAAGAACCUUACCAGGCCUUGACAUCCUCGGAACUUUCUAGAGAUAGAUUGGUGCCUUCGGGAACCGAGUGACAGGUGCUGCAUGGCUGUCGUCAGCUCGUGUCGUGAGAUGUUGGGUUAAGUCCCGUAACGAGCGCAACCCUUGUCCUUAGUUGCCAGCAGUUCGGCUGGGCACUCUAUGGAAACUGCCCGUGAUAAGCGGGAGGAAGGUGUGGAUGACGUCAAGUCCUCAUGGCCCUUACGGGUUGGGCUACACACGUGCUACAAUGGUGGUGACAAUGGGUUAAUCCCAAAAAGCCAUCUCAGUUCGGAUUGGGGUCUGCAACUCGACCCCAUG
rnacentral:rRNA from 1 species